rnacentral:rRNA from 1 species
GAUGAACGCUGGCGGCGUGCCUAAUACAUGCAAGUCGAACGAACAGAUCAGGAGUUUGCUCCUUUGACGUUAGCGGCCGUCGGGAGCGUCACAUGUGUUUAACCUACCUCUCAGACUGGAAUAACUCCGCGAAACCGUGUCUAAUGCCGGAUAAUAUUUCGCACCGCAUUGUUCUAUCGUGAGAUUUGGUUUUUCUUUCACUAAUAGCUUGACCAGCGCCGUAUUAGCUGGUUGUUAAGGUAACGGCUUAACAAGGCAACGAUUCGUAGCCGACCUAAGAGGGUGGUCGGACACACUGGAAGAGAGACAGGGCACAGACUCCGACGGGAAGAAGCAGUAGAGAAUCUUACGCAAUGGGGGAGAGGAUGACGGAGGAAAGCGGCGGGAGUGAUGAAGGAGUACGGAUCGGAAAACUCUGUUAGUAGGGGAGAACAAAUGUGUAAGUAACCGUGCAGGUAUUGACGGUACCGAAUCAGAAAGCCACGGCUAACUACGUG